ACUCCUACGGGAGGCAGCAGUGGGGAAUAUUGCACAAUGGGCGCAAGCCUGAUGCAGCCAUGCCGCGUGUAUGAAGAAGGCCUUCGGGUUGUAAAGUACUUUCAGCGGGGAGGAAGGCAAUACGGUUAAUAACCGUGUUGAUUGACGUUACCCGCAGAAGAAGCACCGGCUAACUCCGUGCCAGCAGCCGCGGUAAUACGGAGGGUGCAAGCGUUAAUCGGAAUUACUGGGCGUAAAGCGCACGCAGGCGGUCUGUCAAGUCGGAUGUGAAAUCCCCGGGCUCAACCUGGGAACUGCAUUCGAAACUGGCAGGCUUGAGUCUUGUAGAGGGGGGUAGAAUUCCAGGUGUAGCGGUGAAAUGCGUAGAGAUCUGGAGGAAUACCGGUGGCGAAGGCGGCCCCCUGGACAAAGACUGACGCUCAGGUGCGAAAGCGUGGGGAGCAAACAGGAUUAGAUACCCCUGUAGUCCCAU
rnacentral:rRNA from 1 species